rnacentral:rRNA from 1 species
UACGUAGGGUGCGAGCGUUGUCCGGAAUUACUGGGCGUAAAGAGCUCGUAGGUGGUUUGUCGCGUUGUCCGUGAAAACUCACAGCUUAACUGUGGGCGUGCGGGCGAUACGGGCAGACUGGAGUACUGCAGGGGAGACUGGAAUUCCUGGUGUAGCGGUGGAAUGCGCAGAUAUCAGGAGGAACACCGGUGGCGAAGGCGGGUCUCUGGGCCAUAACUGACGCUGAGAAGCGAAAGCCAUGGGGAGCGAACAGG